GGGGAAUAUUGCACAAUGGGCGAAAGCCUGAUGCAGCAACGCCGCGUGAGUGACGAAUGUCUUCGGAUUGUAAAGCUCUGUCUUUGGGGACGAUAAUGACGGUACCCAAGGAGGAAGCCACGGCUAACUACGUGCCAGCGGCCGCGGUAAUACGUAGGUGGCGAGCGUUGUCCGGAUUUACUGGGCGGAAAGGAUGCGUAGGCGGAUGUUUAAGUGAGAUGUGAAAUUCCCGGGCUUAACUUGGGAGCUGCAUUUCAAACUGGAUAUCUAGAGUGCAGGAGAGGAGAAUGGAAUUCCUAGUGUAGCGGUGAAAUGCGUAGAGAUUAGGAAGAACACCAGUGGCGAAGGCGAUUCUCUGGGCUGUAACUGACGCUGAGGCGCGAAAGCGUGGGGAGCAAAC
rnacentral:rRNA from 1 species